rnacentral:rRNA from 1 species
UAGUCUCGCACAGAUGCAUAUCAAUAAGCGGAGGAAAAGAAACUAACAAGGAUUCCCUUAGUAACGGCGAGUGAAGCGGGAAGAGCUCAAAUUUGAAAUCUUCAAGGUUUUACCUUGACGAAUUGUAGUUUAAAGAAGUGUUUUCUGUUGAAGUUUUGGUAAAAGUUCUUUGGAAUAGGACUAUCAUAGAGGGUGAGAAUCCCGUAUUUGACCAUUAUUUUCAGCUGUGUGAUACACUUUCAAAGAGUCGGAUUGUUUGGGAAUGCAGUCCAAAAUGGGUGGUAAAUUUCAUCUAAAGCUAAAUAUUGGCGAGAGACCGAUAGCGAACAAGUACCGUGAGGGAAAGAUGAAAAGAACUUUGAAAAGAGAGUUAAACAGUACGUGAAAUUGUCAAAAGGGAAGCGUUUGACACCAGUGUUGUUUUCUCGAAAAUCAAUUAAAAAGAGUUUGAUUUUGUUGUGUAUUGACCUUAACAGCUUGCAUUUCAAUUUUCUUGCUUUUUUUAAUGCACUUUUCGUUUAACAAGUCAACAUCAGUUUCUUUUGUUGUAAAAAGGUCAUUGGAAGGUGGCUUUCUUUUCGGAGAAAGUGUUUAUAGCCUUUGACUCCUGCAAUCGGAGAGACUGAGGUCUGCAGCGUAGAUCCUUCGGGGUUAGAUACAUUUGUGCUAAGUUAUAGCUUUUUAUAGACAACUUGUUGACUAUGAUUAGUCUUGUAGCUUACUCGCUUAUGCUAUUUUACCUACGCUUAGGAUGUUGAGCGCAUGUCUCUCUCU